UACAGAGGUCCCAAGCGUUGUUCGGAUUCAUUGGGCGUAAAGGGUGCGUAGGUGGCGCCGUAAGUGGGGUGUGAAAUUUCGGAGCUUAACUCCGAAACUGCAUUCCAUACUGCGGUGCUUGAGGACUGGAGAGGAGACUGGAAUUCAUGGUGUAGCAGUGAAAUGCGUAGAGAUCAUGAGGAAGACCAGUGGCGAAGGCGGGUCUCUGGACAGUUCCUGACACUGAGGAGCGAAAGCGUGGGGAGCGAACAGG
rnacentral:rRNA from 1 species